UACGUAGGGGGCUAGCGUUAUCCGGAAUUACUGGGGCGUAAAGGGUGCGUAGGUGGUUUCUUAAGUCAGAGGUGAAAGGCUACGGCUCAACCGUAGUAAGCCUUUGAAACUGGGAAACUUGAGUGCAGGAGAGGAGAGUGGAAUUCCUAGUGUAGCGGUGAAAUGCGUAGAUAUUAGGAGGAACACCAGUUGCGAAGGCGGCUCUCUGGACUGUAACUGACACUGAGGCACGAAAGCGUGGGGAGCGAACGGGAUUAGAUACCCGUGUAGUCCCUGAGCGGGCU
rnacentral:rRNA from 1 species